UGUGCAGUACCUAGGUAAGGACAACUAGCCACUUAGAUGCAGAGUAGGGCGGGCCCUGAUAGCAUGGUAGUGUGAUCCAAAACAAACUGAUCCGAUCUAGCAUCUAUCUACCGGUAACCAUGGCUUCAGCUCAGCCGUACAUGUUCCAACCAGAGUCUGAUCCCGAAACAGAACCCGAACCAGCUUCACAACCUAGACUGGAGCAAGAUGUUUCAGAGUGGUAAGUUAAUUAAGUAUUUCAGUUUGAAUUCUGCACCGUUUCUAUCACAGUAACAACUUUAUGUCCAUUGACUGUCUGGAGGGUAUCUAACGUUUUUUUUUUUUAUAUUUAGGUGUACUUGUGGAAAUUGCUCGACAAUGUCCACUGAAGUUUAAAACAUCUGUUGCCAAGAAAUACAAAUGGUUGUUAGAAUGCAACAGGUUCCUGUCCCACCUACCUGCAUGGUUUAUCAUCCAGACUUGGAGCCAACCUGUUUGAACCACUACACCCUGCGGAACUUCUACACUAUAUACAGAGCAGACUAUGGACCUUUGAGGCACCUUGCCUAUCUUGGCUUUGUGAACUGGUGCUGGGGCUACUUGGGAAGGACUGUUAGGGUGGUAAUCCCGU